rnacentral:SRP_RNA from 1 species
CCUGGGCAUGGUGGUGGGCGCCUGUAAUUCCAACUACUCAGGAGGCUGAGGCAGGAGAAUCACUUGAAUUUGGGAGACGGAGGUUGCAGUGGACUGAGAUUGCGCCAUUGCACUGCACCCUGGGCAACAAGAGCGAAAUUCCAUCUUGAAAAAAUAAAAAUUUUGUAAAACAUUUUGUAAAAAAAAAAAAAAAAAGAUACAAAAUUUUUAUUUUUUCAAGAUGGAAUUUCGCUCUUGUCGCCCAGGCUGCAGUGCAAUGGCGCAAUCUCAGUUCACUGCAACCUCCGUCUCCCAAAUUCAAGUGAUUCUCCUGCCUC